rnacentral:rRNA from 1 species
GGAGGGUGCAAGCGUUAUCCGGAUUCACUGGGUUUAAAGGGUGCGUAGGUGGGUUGGUAAGUCAGUGGUGAAAUCUCCGAGCUUAACUUGGAAACUGCCAUUGAUACUAUCAAUCUUGAAUAUUGUGGAGGUCAGCGGAAUAUGUCAUGUAGCGGUGAAAUGCUUAGAUAUGACAUAGAACACCAAUUGCGAAGGCAGCUGGCUACACAUAUAUUGACACUGAGGCACGAAAGCGUGGGGAUCAAACAGGAUUAGAUACCCUGGUAGUCCACGCCCUAAACUAUGGAUACUCGACAUACGCGAUACACUGUGUGUGUCUGAGCGAAAGCAUUAAGUAUCCCACCUGGGAAGUACGAUCGCAAGAUUGAA